rnacentral:lncRNA from 1 species
GGGGAAUGUCCCGAAGUAGCAUGUACGCAAAGGAGGCUCGUGAUCAAGGCCCGAAACGUCGGGUGGAGUUUAGUUUAGGAUUAGUUUAGAAUAGAAUAGGUUUUAUAUUUCAGCACCUCUUUUAUUUUGGAUUGUAUAAUUUGGACUGAACAUUAUUUUAGUUUGUUUUGAAUUUUGAGUGAUUUGUUUGUUUGCUUGUUUUGU